AUGCUGCGAAGUUCUGGUUUGGAGAUCAACCCCGACAAGUACAUCGACAUCCAGCACAAAUGGAGAGUUCCUUUCAAGGGAAGAAAGAGGUACCACUCUUUGGCUGAUGUUGCAGGGAGCGUGAUCCACCCAUUCUACAAACAGAUGAAGGAUAAGAUUGAUAGGGUUGAAGACCAUAAACUGUGGGGGAUCAGCCCACUGCCAAAUUACCUCAUUGAGUAUGCAGCGAUAGAUGCGUACGCCACCUACGAGUCAUGGAAGAGAAUUGAAAACAUCAGAGAAGGUCUGGAGAGUGCAAAAGAGGCAGAGAAGAAUUAUGACGAUCCUUACUACGGAUACUAG
rnacentral:rRNA from 1 species